CAUUCGCUGAAAUCGAAUUAACAUUUUCUUGAAAAAUUUAUUUUAUUUGCGAAAAAAAGUUAUCGAGGGUAGAAACUGCUUAGCCCUUUUGGAAAUGAUAGCACGUCGUCUGCUAUUCAUUUAUUUCAAGUCUGUGCUUCGCUCGUUCAAACGUGGUCGAACGUUUCGUCAUUCCUUUUUUGGUGCAAAAUUUUCCAUUCGUCACUGCAAACAUUUGUGGCUAUUGACUUUCAACGGAUAAUGAACUGACUUUGUGACGAAUGAAUAAUUUAAAAGACAAUGGUGUUAUUGUCUCUUCUCGAAAUCGCCAUCAUCUCUCCCGACCACGUGUUUCGUGCGAAAAGCAAGGAACUUUUACGGCGAAAAACCUUUAACGAAUAAAAUGUCAGCCCACGACAUCGCCACACCGAGCUCUUUGAUUCAUUUGCAUCCAACAAAUGUAAGUAACCUCCUGGCCACACACAAUCUGCUUGUUGAGACUUAGAUCGCAGCCGGCUCACGGUAACAUUUAAAA